ensembl:lncRNA
CAGGGAAAAAAAAGAUAGUUUUCUACAUGCUUGAUCUUUUCUUGAAGGAAAAAAAAUCUCCAAGUCCCUCUGUGCAGCCCUAUCCCUAGCCUAAUCUCCACUGUAGCCAUCAAGCAUACAAACUGACUUUGGCACUACAUUGCACUUCUCAGUACUUUAUGUUUAAUGUGCAAAUACACUGCACUUGUUAAUAUCUUGAACUGCUUGAGAAAACGUUUCAUCUGCAUCCGAUGCAAUCACAAAGAGCAUUUUACACUGACUGACUGAUGAAAUAGCAGGACUAUUUCGUAAUCUUCACAAAGCAUCACUAGAAUCUGAAAAAUCACCAGAAGGAUAUCUUGCAUUCUAAAAUUCACUCGGAACCAUUAACAUGUCUGUACAAAUCACUGGCAAAAUACUCAUGUAAGAGAAAGAAAAAAAACCACACAUUAAAAACAACAGUUCCUAAUGUUAGCUCUGCUCGAAAUUAUUAAGAGCAGCCAGCACGACAGAGAGGACUGGUGGUGCAGAUGCUUCUCAGCCUUAGUGCAGCCAAUGGACUGCAGAUUUCCCAGCUCUCUCAGUACUUCAGCUGCUUUCAGCAACUUCACAUUCACAUUCCAGUAAUGGGAGACAGUUAAUUCGGUCCGUUGCGCUGCUUUGAAAAUUUCCACCCUUGACUUGCAAACAAACAAAAACACCAACCUUUAAGCUAAUGUCUUUCCCUGUGUGAAUAUAAUAACUUCUCCCGGUGACAGAAAUUCUGCUGUGAGUAGUGGCAAGCUUUGCUUUGUUGAAGCCUCCUGCAAACCCACAUUGUUUGAAGUCAUUACACACAGAGGAGCUGAAGCCUGGUGUUGUGCUCCAGCAACUGAGUGAGCAACAUGAUGCUGCAGGAAUGAGAUGGAGAGAAGGAGAUGCUGAUGACAGUACAGCUCCAGCCUAUGGUGAGAAGUCAAAGCAUCAUGAGAAACACCGAGACAAGAGGCUCAACUCCAUAGCAUGACACAGCACAGACUUACUAAUUCCCCCCAGAUGUAGAGAAACCACGAGGUAUUUCUGCCCCAGCCAAACCCAGGAGAUCCCUCGGCAUCAUAAGCUUGCUCUCGGCCCAGCAGUGUGUCCUGGCUGUUGUGCAACACUGCUCUCUAUGUGACACCUGUAGCGAGUGGAGUGAGUUGCUAUCACUGGGUACUUUGUAAAGCUCUGUGGGAUGCCCGAGGUUGCCAGUGGCUGUACACAAGCAAGAGCUUAAUGUUGCUGGAACACCGCCUGCAAACGAUGGUUGCUAGGAGGAGUUUCACCGGGAUGAGAAACAUAUUGCAAAACUACUUAAAACAGUAUUUUCAGCACCUCCAGAAACUCCCUGAUGGGAUUUCAAAGUCUUUGCUCACUACAGAGAUAUUUACACCCACUCCAGUCCUCCAGAGAAGAAUCAUUUCCUCAGGUUUUGACUGUGCUCAAUAAAAAGAGUACAUGUCUUUUGUUAGUGAAAAAAAAAACAAAAAACAUCGCAAUUUCCCCAGACAAGAAGAGAGUUGCUGUGAUCCUCACCUACUGAACGCUGAUGUGGCUCUAAGCAAUGUCAUAUAGCUUAUCCACCACCAGGGAGCAUUCCCCUCAUCUGUGAAAAAAAAACAUGGUUAAUUUUUUCUUCUCCAACCAAAAACUGGUCAAGGACAACUACUUAGAAAAGCACCAAAAUGCAAUUCCUUCUCUCAAUAAAACCUUCCAAGCUACAAAUAUUUGCCCCCCUAAGAUGACUGAAGUUGUGGGGUCCUCAAAAAUUGAAUCUGCACUGCGUGGGUGGGGAAUUGAACCACAAAACUCAGCUCACCUGUGUGGGACUGAGAGCCACAGGUGUUACAAACUCCUUGCACAGUUCCCAGCCCCCUGCAGUCAUCGCUUCUGUAUGUUGCCAUGGGCUGCUCUGAAGCUCCUGUCCUUCACCUGGGGUUUGGCCAGGUGUGACAAUCAGCCAGCAGAGCCGUUAUCUUGCUAAAUCAAUAAAGUGACAAACUUCAAACAGGCCAUUAUAAAUAUUAGCAGAUCAUUGAGAAUUUUUAUGGAUGAGAACAAGGAAAGUUAAUUUUUAGUGAUCUCAGAUCCAAGGAAUCCACUUCUGGAGACAUCUAAUGUCUCAGUGACAGAAGACACAAACCUCUGCCUCUAACAGUCCAGUAUCAUGAUCCAUAUUCCUAACAGAUGAUGGAUGGAGAUGUUGCAAGCUCUUCUGGGGCUCUGGAUGCUGAGCAAAGCCUGUUGUCCUCCAAACCAAACUGCUGCCAGCCAAAGAAAAGUUAUAAGUGGCAAAGCAAAAGCUACUAAAUAAGAAUUUAAUUUAGAUUGAUUAAGAUAGCUAUUACACGUCAAUUCAUUUAAAUACAAAUGGAUUAUUUGGAAUGUGAUUAUUGAAGAUUAACGGCUCCUGCACACAAUAUAAAUACGUAGCUAAUUAUAAAGUCAAGCAGUCAUUAUUAAUAUUUCUAACGAUCAAUUUGUAUUCAAACAACAUAAAAUCACCAAUUCUGUGUCUUCUGCAGUCAUGGUAAUUGGGAAAAGAGGCCAUGAUCUAUGCAGAAAUCAAUGGGCUGCUGAGUGCCUGGCUGAAGGCAGAGCUGUGGAGCUGAGUUUUCCGAGACACACAACAAAACUGGGAGCUCAGAUCAAGCAGAAGGAGUUAUUUUUGUUAUAUUUUGGUUAUAUUUGUUGUUCUUCUGUAAGCACAGCCAGAGAGAGACUAAAUGAAAAGAUCACCAAAAUGCUUGCUGCAGUCUUGUGCUCAAGUACGUGCUUACCCUUCUGCAGAGCAGGGCUGCCUACGUGGAUCCGCGCAAAUGUUUUCUUUAGCGGAAUCUUUUGUCCCUGAGCCCUUUGAAGAAGCCUCCAGGGGACGAACGUUCAUUCAGAAGGGGAAGGACUGUAAGAGCACUUCAAUCAAUGGCCUAUGAAAUAAGUAAUCACCAAAGCAACUCCAGCUCACCCUGGCUGAAAGAGGAUGGAGCUCAUUUGCUACAGUACAAAGACAUAGGAAAAAAAAAAAACCCACCAGCUCAGUGGGCAUGGAAGCCAACUCUUUGCAUCCAGGGGGUGGUCACACAGCUGCCCCUCUGCAGCCCAGGCAGGUCAGUGCUGCUGCUCACGGACGGG